UUCAAAGUCACCCGCGGCGUGUUGCUUUCGAUUUAAGCAUCAUUUCUGGUCGUCCCCCGCGGCGCGCUGCUUUUGCUUUCAAAAGACUUUUUCCGAAAUCCCCCGCUGCGUCUUGCAUUCGCUUUGAAACGACAUUUCUCCAAAUCCCCCGCGGCGUGUUUCUUUUGCUUACAAGCAACAUUAUUCCAAGUACCCCGCGGCGUGUUGCUUUUUCUUUGAAACGACAUUUUUCCAAAUCCCCCGCGGCGUGUUGUUUUCGCUUUCAAGCGACAUUUUUCUAAACCCCCGCGGCGUGUUGGUUGCGCGUUUAAACGUCAUCUUUCCAAGUCCAUAGCUGCGUGGUGCUUUCGCUUACUGGCGACAUUAUUUUAAGUCCGCUGCGGCGCGUUGCUUUUGCUUUGAAACGUUGAUUUUCCAAGUCUUACGCGGCGUGUUGUUUUCGCUUCCAAACGGCAUUAUUCCAAGUCCCCCGCAGCGUGUUUCUUUCCUUUUCAAGUGACAUUAUUCCAAGUCCCCCGCGGCUUGUUUUUCUUGCACGGCCGUCACCUAUAUAAACGAGCGUCAGCUCCGGUUUCGGGCGUCAUCUCCAGCCGCGGGCGUCACCUCCGGCUGACCGAAUCGCACUCUCAACCGUAUAGGCGUGUCACGGUACGUUGUAUUCGCUUUCAAGCUUCAUUACACAUAAUCGUUUGCGUCGUGUUGCUUUCACUAUCAAACGUAGAAACAAAUCUUCUUAGAGGGACAGGUGGAUUCUAGCCGCACGAAAUUGUGCAAUAACAGGUCUGUGAUGCCCUUAGGUGUUCUGUCCGCAUGCGCGCUACACUGAUGGAUUCAACGUGUGUUCCCUCGUCGAAAGUCCCGGGUAACCCGCUUGACCCCCUUCGUGCUUGGGAUUGGGGCAUGCAGGUGUUGCCCAUGAACGAGGAAUUCCCAGUAAGCGCGAGUCCUGAGCUCGCGUUGAUUACGUCCUUGCCCUUUGUACGCACCGCCCGUCGCUACUACCGAUUGAAUGCUUUAGUGAAGUCUUCGGACUAGUGCGCGGCAAUGCGUCGGCAUUGCCGAUGUUGCCGGGAAGAUGACCAAAAUUGAUCAUAUAGAGAAAGUAAAGUCGUAACAAGUUUUCCGUAGGUGAACCUGCGGAAGGAUCAUUA
rnacentral:ncRNA from 1 species